rnacentral:tRNA from 1 species
GCCUGGGUGGCUCAGUAGGUUAAGCGUCUGACUUCAUCUCAGGUCAUGAUCUCAUGGUUCGUGGGUUGGAGCCCCGCAUCAGGCU